rnacentral:lncRNA from 1 species
GAACAACUGCCCACUAAGUAAAGCAAAAACCAUGUGAGCAGGUAAAGCCAACGAGGAAUUCAUUCACUAUUUCCCAUCAGAGGCAGCUGUUCAGUCCCUCCCAAAAGACUAGGGCUCAGCAUGCAUAGUGAUUUCCUGGGAAGACAAAUGCCAUCAGCUGCGAUAUUCCACCUUCCUUCUUCUUUCCCUUAGCUGUUACUGCUGAUCAUGAAGCCCUACGGUAUGAGAUAUCCCUUUGGUCAGUCUGGAUCAGCUGUCCACAUCCCCUCCCAGCUCUCUGUGCAUCCGUAUUUUUUUAAAAAACCUUGAUUUGGAAAAAGUAUCAGUGUAUUGUAAUAUUGAAGAGCAGUACAGCUUACCAUGAGCGCUUUGGAAAGCUUUACAGACAGGCACUGAACCUUUCAGCAGGAAGAUAUUGGGAAUGGUUUUGAUUAUACUGCCCCGUACUGCAAAACAUACAAGGAGGGGGGAGUUCAUUUAAGAUGGAAUGAAGAUUGAACUACCAUGUAUCUUUUAACAUGCUACAAAUUAAGAACUGAACUUAUUUACUUCAGUGUGCAAGGGACACUGCGUGUCUUUGCAAACACAUAGAAACUUGAUGUGCCUGCAAGCAAAUGUUUGGAAGGUAAGAAUAAUGAUACCAAUUCACUCCUAUAGACUGUAGACAUAAUUGAAUCCUCUGAGAAAUUAAGUAUACAAACACUGACGUAUAAAAAGCUAGAUAGAUUUGCUUGAAUCAGGACAGCAACACAUAAAAAACAGCAGUAUCUAUCUACUUAAAGGGAGAGUGUUAGAAAGAGAGAAUCCAAUCAACAUAAAAGACAUGAGAUAAUACAAGAGUGACCUUUUCAAGUUAAGUUCCUGUAUUUUUCCUAAAUUAUUCUUUUUAUCAAAUGUUUCUAAUAAGUCCAUUCACCCAGACUAGAUGGGCUACUCUAGCAGUAAGAUGUUAUCCCCUGUGCUGUGACAAAGUCAGAAUGUAGACCUGAUGAAAUUGGCAGUAUCUCAUUUAGCUCAUGUUUGGAGAAAGAGAAGGUUAAAUACCAGUGUGUAGAGGCUUCCAUGGUGCAGUCUCAAUUUGGUCCCUCUUUUAUGACUCUUUUUCAUAUAUGCAACUUUGUGCUUUUUGUCAAAGAAUAUUUUGGUAACAGUAAUUAUCCAUUAGAAGAUUUAUCUCUGCUUCACAUUCAAGAGCUUUCAUGGCAUCCGUAGUUGAAUAAUUUUGAUACUGAUGGCUACUUGGUGGUUUUGGACUGAGUAAUUAUACAUCCACAGGGAGAGAAAGGCAUGCUGCCAAAGCAUUUCAAGUGCUAUCUCAGCAAUGCAAAAGACUUGGCAUUUCCCUCUGUCAUUUUUCAUUCUCAAAGUGCUAUAAACAUAUGCUGAAGAAAAUAUUUCAAGUACCUGGGAAGAGUAGCCCAGUACACUAUCAGCUCAACUCUUCUGGACAUUCUUAUUUAUUUUGCUAAAUGAAGGCAUCUUUAGAAACUAGUUAUCACAGAAGGAAUUAUUAUCCUUUUCGUUACUGUUGCACAGAUGUACUGUAUUUCUCCAUCGUCUCUUUUUUAGUAAUCAGAAUAAGACAGGUAAUCCUCCUGCUCUUUCCCCACUAGGUCACAUAGCAGAUACUGUAUGAACUGCUAUAUUUUCUGAGAACAAAUUUUGAAAUCUGGUCUUCAGUUUUCGGUUUUCUUAAUCUGUCCUCAUGUUUAAUCCAGGGAACAGGAUGAGGAAAGAGAUGAGUAUACUGUUGCAGUUUAGUACCAGUGUUCCCAUCGACUCGGUAAGUUACUGAAUUCCUGGAAUAGCCAUGCUUUACAUAUAUCCUCCACCAUCUGGAGUGUGGGUGGAAGGCAUGCUUGAACUAAAGGUGUUAAAAUUACACUAUUAAUGGUUUUGGAUGAUGUUGUCCUUAGGAGAACAAAAAGAACUUCAGCCAGUUAAUUAUUUUAUCUGCAGAAAGUAACAAAGGGACUUAAUUCAGCAGGAGUGCGGGUGUUCAUGUGUGUGUGCAUCUAUGUAGUCACAGAAAAAGAAUGCUUCAUUACAAUGAUAACAGGUUGAUUUGAAUUAUUUGUUUGGUAUCUUUAUUUUUCCAUGUUUGCCGAGACAGACAAUUUCUCAGCUUCCUGUCGUGCUUCCUUCACUGAUCCAGACACUGGAGCAGUCUGUAAAAGGAUUCUGCGGUUUACAGUCUUUUCAUUUCGUAAUUAUUUUACUUAGAAAUCAUUUUUAAGAUAAAAAUAAAUUAUUUUUUUACAGAUGUUUUCUGAAUCUGAAUUCUACAACAUGGUGUGGAUUCAGCAAGAAAUGUCCUGAGAAAUGGUGGAUCAGAAGAUAAAAAAUGGCAGUGACAUCCACCUUUGUGCCAGGCACAGUGCCGGUACUCCAGAGCCACACAACCACUGUCUCCCACCUCACAUUCAUGCUUAUAAUUCCAGACAUGCUUAAUGACGUAUAGCAAUGGUUCUUCCCCCAUACAAUGCUAAAAACAACUUCCACUUGUAUUUUCAAUUAUGUUAUUUUUCACUUAGACAUGUCUGAAACUUCAGCAACAACAAAUCUUUAACUUAUUCCCUUCUUUUUACUUCGGGUUGAUUUUGUUACUGGUUUUUGUUUGUUUGUUUGUUUUUCUUUUUCUGUCUUCACAACAUACUGCAGGUUUGAGUCUCUCAGAGCCAGAAAGAAAUCGGUAUCAAGACGUGCUAAGAAUGUAUUGUAGUUACUAAGGAAGUGGUUUCCCAAGCAACAGUAACCACAUGAAAUUCGACAGAAUUUCUUCCUUUGCUACUAUAUCAUGUUUGAAGAUUUCAAAGAGCCAGGAUGUGGGUAGCAUAAGUGAUUUUGUCCUUGUUAAACAGAAGCAGAUACAGUAAUAUCCUUGUCCUUACUAAAGAAAGGGUUAAAUUCAUUAAGUUACAAUUUUCCUGGUAGCAGAAAAAAAUGUGGAUGUGCCAAAUAGUCCUGCAGCAUGUGGGCAGAUGCUAGAGGCAACAUUCUCAGUUGUUACAUACUCAGUGGUGAUAUUUACCAUUCAAGAAAGCCAUGCCAACACUUUGGUUUGCUCCAGACACUGGAAGAGACAUUUACCAGCUUGAUGAUGUCAAAAAGUGUAGGAAACUUGCACUUGCUUGAUAUUAGUAGAAGGAUCAGAACCAAAGGUAAUGAAGUUGCAUUGUCCUAACUUCUCUGCAGUGGUGUAAACAAAAUGGAGUCAGCUGGGCAUCAAUCAAAGAAUGCAGUGUCAUUGCUAUUCUGUUUUGAUCAAGAAAUGAAAAUAACACAGUAGAUGUUGCCCUCUGAAAGUGAAUUUAAUGCUUGUUCUUAGAAGGGAAUUGGAAACAACAGGUUCUAUGGGUUAACAAGCAGUGCAAUUUAAUAUGUUUUCUCGAUAGAAAAUGUGAAUAAUUUCUACCUGCUUCUGUGUGCUGAGGUUCAUUGAGUGGUAAGGCACCACAGAGGCACUGUUAAUAAAGAGCUCAAUCCAGCAAGACAAAGAAAGAGAUGACUCAUUUUUCAUUUGAGUUUCAGGUACUAAGAAAAUCAAAAUUUCUUUCAAAAAUUUGUCUUUAAGAAGUGAUUCUUUAUAUCCACUUCAUGUUUAUGGUGAAAUUUAAAAAAGAAAAUGUGGUGGUGUGCAUGUGAGGCAAAUCCCAAGGGAAGGUAUGUAUUGAAGGAGGUGUGUUUCCAUAUGUUAUUAAGGUUCGUGCUUUGUAGGUACACUUACAUCUUUUCUGAAAACUUAGAUUUCUGCUUUGACCAGAGUAAGAAUUUUUUUACAAUUGUACAAACUCCUACUUAUCUUCUGGAUUGCAGGUCACCAUGCAUAAUGAAACAUUUGAGCUACGGAACCUUUUAAAGUAUACGAAGAAACAAUUAUGUGUAUUAUGAAACUGUUCAGCAGUAUGGAUUGGGGCCAGCUCUGUGCAUUCCCAGAUGUAAUGGACAUAAUUGCAGGUCUCCAAGCACAGACACUGAAGUGAAUGACUGAGGGGAUUUGGGGGCUUCACUGGCUCUGGAUCUGUAUCAGCAGUGCCAGAAACAAACUGGCUCAUUAAAAGCUUUAAUCUUAUUUCACUUAUUACCCUUUCACUUAUUUCUACCUUUGUGAACUGCUUCAUGCAAAGAACUGCCUUUUUAAACCAUCUCUCAAACCCUCUUCAAGUUGCAGAACUAAUAUUCUUAGCUAACAAGCUCUUAGUUAAGUAAGUGGUUAGAAAACUUCUAAGUCCUUCAGAAGGCUUCCUUCCAACACAUCCUCCGUAGACAUACUAAUGUGUUUGUAUUUCUGUGAUGCAUUAAGACAUCUAAAAGAAUACUGCUUGUAGGCAGGUAAAUGCUAUAAUUAGAAAAAAACAAGUUGAGUCUCCAAAUAAAGUCAUCUGUUUCUUUUAAAAAUACAGUAGAUGCACUAUAAUGUAGGAACUUAAUUUAUUUAAAUAAAGUUUGUUUGUAUUCAUGCACAGAACCCAACUAAAUCAAAUGUCUGCAGCUUUUGUGCAUGCUUGCAUUUUAAGCAGUUGCAUCUAAUCAGAAUAGUUAUCAUUUUAAUAGAGCUGGCGCACAUUAAAAAGAGCAUGGAUGGGGGGAUGUUACCCUCCCCCUCUACUCUGCCCUGGUGAGGCCACAUGUAGAGUACUACGUCCAGUUCUAGACUCCUCAGUUCAAGAAAGACAGAGAGAGUCCAACAAAGGGUCAUAAAGAUGAUGGGGAACCUGGAGCAUCUCCUUUCUGAGGAAAGGCUGAGAGACCUGUGACUGUUCAGCCCAGAGAAGACUGAGAAGGAAUCUUACCAAUGCCUAUGGAUAUCUGAAGUGUGGAAGUAAGGUGGAUGGGGCCAGGCUCUUUUCAGUGGUGCCCAGUGACAGGAUAAGGGGCAAAGGACACAAACUGGAACACUAGAAGUUCCAUAUGAACAUGAGGAAAAACCUCUUUGAAAGUGACAGAGCACUGUAACAGGCUGCCUGGAGAGAUUGUGGAGUCUCCUUCUCUGGAGAUAUGCAUAUCUGCCUGGACGCCUUCCUGUAUGACCUACUGUAGGGAACUUGUUUUAUCAAGGGUUGGACUAGAAGAUGUCCAGAUGAUCUCCAGCCACAGUGAAUCUGUGAUUCUGUGUAUUACUUUAUUUAUUCAGUUUUUUUUCUUUUUCAGAGAAAGCUGCCUCUGCCCUCGAAGGCCUCUCAUUUUACCAGGAUGUAUGCAGUGGACACAGACCUGAUAAGAAAUUAUGAGGUUGCAGUUUCUACUGGAAUAAGAGUUCAAUGCAGUCACUUACCCAGACUUCACUUCAUCAUGUCUGAGCACUUACAGCUAUAACUUGUGAUCUUUCUGGUUUAUUUGGAGGCACAGCAAGCCAGCUCCUGUACACAGAGGCAUCCUUAUAUGCUUUCUAAUGUGAUGCUGCUGUGUGGGAUAUUGAGAUCACAGUGAAGGUCGCAGUGCAAAUAUUUACAUACAGGCAAGUCUUAGUGUAUGACUCUCUGGAGACCCCUACAUAAAGGCUGUGAAUCUGAUUAGAUUCCAAAAUGGAAGAGCAAGACAUCUUGUUUUUGUCCAUACUCUUGAAAAUAGAUUAGAGUAAGGAAAUAUGCUGCUUGACUGGAAUGAAGAAAAUUGCUUACGAAACUGCUCACCUACCCAAAAAUCAUUUUAAAAAAGUUAUCCUAACCCUCAAGAACAUUAAGAACAGUAAGGCUAUGAAGAGAUGGAGAAGAACAACUGAAGUUCCAUAAGAAGCCAUUCUUUCUUCUGCUUCACAGUUCAAUUUGGUAUUGUUGAAUCACUACAUCAAGAAACCUAGCUGCAUCUUGAAGAACAUAUUGUUACUUGCACUGCUUUAUGUCAAAUUAAACAUGUAGACAAUUUCAAAUGGAAAGAAUGUUGGACAGUAUAGUAACAACUCAGAGUCAGGACUAAAAGCAAAAUUAGUUGCUCUCGCACAAGCUUUUGGCUUGUUAUGGAAGAAGAUGAUUACUGUAAUUAGUGACACUGAAGAUGUACAAUUCUCUUCAUGAAAUAGUUGUGGAUGAAGUCCAAAAAAUUAUUAUGCUGGCUGUUUGGCCAGAAAAUAUCAAAAGGGGACACCUGUGUUCCAGAUAGAAACAGCUGUAAAUAUGUUGUUACAUAAGCACUCGCUCUGCUCCCAC